rnacentral:rRNA from 1 species
CCUACGGGAGUCAGCCGUGGGGAAUAUUGCACAAUGGGGGAAACCCUGAUGCAGCGACGCCGCGGGAGUGAAGAAGUAUUUCGGUCUGUAAAGCUCUAUCAGCCGGGAAGAUAAUGACGGUAACUGAGUAAGAAGCCCCGGCUAACUAAGUGCCAGCAGCCGCGGUAAUACGUAGGGGGCAAGCGUUAUCCGGAUUUCCUGGGUUUAAAGGGAGAGUAGAGGGCAUGGCAUGUCUGAGGGGAAAGCCCGGGGCUCAACCGCGGGACUGAUUUGGACACUGUGCAGAUGGGGUGCAGGAGAGGUAAGUGGAAUGCGUAGUGUAGAGGUGAAAUGCGUAGAUAUUAGGAGGAACACCAGUGGCGAAGGCGGAGUACUGGACUGUAACUGACGUUGAGGCUCGAAAGCGUGGGGAGCAAACAGGAUUAGAUACCCCUGUAGUC